rnacentral:rRNA from 1 species
UGGGGAAUAUUGGACAAUGGGCGAAAGCCUGAUCCAGCCAUGCCGCGUGAGUGAAGAAGGCCCUAGGGUUGUAAAACUCUUUCAACGGUGAAGAUAAUGACGGUAACCGUAGAAGAAGCCCCGGCUAAUUUCGUGCCAGCAGCCGCGGUAAUACGAAAGGGGCUAGCGUUGUUCGGAAUUACUGGGCGUAAAGCGCGCGUAGGCGGCCUAGCAAGUUGGGGGUGAAAUCCCGGAGCUCAACUCCGGAACUGCCUUCAAAACUGCUAAGCUUGAGGAUGUGAGAGGUGAAUGGAAUUCCGAGUGUAGAGGUGAAAUUCGUAGAUAUUCGGAAGAACACCAGUGGCGAAGGCGAUUCACUGGCGCAUUUCUGACGCUGAGGCGCGAAAGCGUGGGGAGCGAACAGGAUUAGAUACCCCCGUAGUCC